AGGUGGCGGUGAUGGGGCCGCCCCGGUCCUGUCCUUGCCUCUUCCCGGCCAGCAGCGCUAUCGCGCUCUCCUCUGCGCGGCGCUGGAGGCCAUGGAUGCUUCCCUGUGAGCGCCGUGCCCUGCAGGUCCCUCUGUCAGAGCAGAGCUUUGUGUUCCAGAGAGACAACACUGACACCCGCGCACCCCCACACCCACAGAGCCGGGAGCGGGGAGGUUUGGGGCGGCCGCUCGGUGCUGCGCGGCGGGGCCGGUGUCGCAGCGAGUGGCCCGGGUUGUGAGGCAAAGCCUCGCACAGAGAUUGAGUGGUUAUUGGGAAAUCCAUCGUAUUUCAUCCCGUUUCAUCAGCGCCCCUCGCCAGCCCCGGCUGUGCGUGCGCUCACGCAAGGGUGACAUAACCAGGGUGAGAAAACUCUGAAAACACUACAGCUGCUGAGAAUGGAAGCUAUUCUGAAGUGUUAGGAAAAGAAAGUCACAAAAGAUGGAGUCCACCUGGUUUCCUUGGGAUUCAGACACACUGAAGAAAGACUGAAGUGUGUACCCCCUCAGAAAAGCAGGUGGGGCAAUAUGCAGCAUUUACACCAAAACUGCAGCUUUUAAACCAUGUAGAAAACAGUGGAAAGAAGGCUGAUUUCCUACAGGAAGAACACAGCAAGGAAAGAGGGUUUGUGACUGUGUGUCCUUGCCUGAGGAACCCGAGGGUUAUGGGAUUUGGCACGCUGUCAUGGCCUGGCAGGCAGGGACACAGAUGGAUCCCCUUGGCUGGGUGGCAGUGGCCUUGUCCUUGCUCCCAGUGAGAGCCUUGUGGUGCAAGGAUAGAACAUUCCUGUCACUCCAGCAAGUGUUCCACUGUGUCCUCCAUUUAAUCAGGCCUAGGAACACUAUUUUUCCCCUACAUCCAUAAAUUACUUAUUCCCAUGAAGUGUGACUUCUGUUUAAAAUCACCUGCGUAAACUGUACUAGAUACAGCCAUGCUAAGUUUAAUAAAUAGGCAUUUUAUAUUUUAUUUUAUUAUAUUAUAAAUAGGAAUUUUAUAUUUUAAUAAAUAGGCAUUGUAUCAAGCUGCUGAAAACCUGCUGGGCUGAAAGUGGAGCUGGGGGCAGCCAGGUUGUGUGGUGAGGGCUCAGAGUGAUCCUGUGCAGUUCGUGUCUUUUAGAGACAUUGGGGAAAGAAACGCUGAAAUUUUAGGCCUAAACCUUUCUCUGUGGGCAGUUAACUCCUACUGCACCUUGAGAUGGGGUACAGUGUCUCUAAGCUGUGUGUAAAUAUUUUAGAUACCUUCUCCUCUUUGCUGUGUGACUGCAGCAGAGUUCCUGCCUUAUCCUGGGAGAUAAAGGCCUGCUGGCUGCAGUGGGAGAUAAUGCUUCCCAGGGAGUUUGUGUUUCAUUGCACAAUCAAUUGUCUUGCAAGGUCCUUGGGGUGUGAUUAUCUGAAGUUUCAGCUUGGAGGUGCAGUGCUGUAACUACUAAAGUAAAACUGCAAUAGGGCAGAUUUCAAGAUGUAGGUCUUUUGUACUAAAAAGUGUAUUUUGAUUAAUGUAGCAUCUUCCCUGUCUGUCCACAGUUCAGUGCGAAUUUAACUCCCAGAGCAGUGCCUGGUCUGUCUUCAGCUCCAGAGCAAGCAGAGGGAAGCAGCCAAGAGCAGGCACCCCACAGCAAAGGGGAGCAAAAGCCAUUGCAGCCAUGCCUGGCAAGUGCAGCUCCUGCUGGAAUGGCUGGGUGACCAAUGGCACCUAGGGAAAGGCAUGGCUCCAGCUGACCUCUGUGCUGUGCCCCUGAUGGCAGGGACUUUGUGCUGGCAGAAAAUACAUUGUGUUUCUAACUGUGUCAGAGCUUGAGUCCCUCCCUGCAGCAUCUGAGUGGAGAUCUGGAAAAUAUUUUGUUACAGUUCUUUACUGGUACCUCUGGCACUAGGGUUAUAAUGUAUCUAGCAGGGUUGAGUUCCAAUCAGCUCGACUAGAGAGAAAAAUGAAAUUUAACUCCUGCCAUUGAAGUUUCAGCAGCAAUAAGCCAUGUUCUGACUGACUUCACUAGGACUACCCCAAGAGCACCUUAAGGCACUGUCUGUUCUUGGGCUGCACCAAUCCCUCUGUGCACCCCAGCUUUGAAAGCCUUCUCAGGAACAGCACAGAUCUGGGUGCUCCUGCACCUACAACCCUGAAUCCUUGUCAAGGCAAGAGAAGGUGGCCAGGAAUAUGCAAAUUGAAUUGCUUCAGCAUCACCUAAGUCAGUGUCUUGCUAUUUAAGGAUGGUGUGUUAAGGGUAAAGGAAAUGUAAUUUGUCAAAGCAGGUCUCUCCUGAGUUAAGGGAAAGCUCAAGGUCUGGGUGUGAUGGUGUGGUAAUCAGUAAAGAAACUUCAUUUAAGAUCAGCACCAGCCCCACUUCUGCCUGGUUAACUGCUGGGGGGGUGGUUAUUUUCUAUUGGCAAAGUUCAGUGAGUGAUAAGCAAGAGUAACCACUAAUUCUUAUCUGCUCCAUCUGGGAACUGGAUGAGUCUGUUCCAGCACAGACAUGACUGGUACCAAGCUCCAGCUGCAGGGGACAGGCUGCUUGUGUGCCUUAACCUUCAGUGUUUCAGGGUCUGCAGACUGAAGUUAGAGGAACCCAUCCUAUCUCAGGAGUGCAACGUGCAAGGGAGCUGGAUAAAAGUCCUCAGCAAGCCUGCAUCAGUCUGGUAACCAUUUUAAGCUCAUUUUAGACAAACUUGGUGAAAAUACAAUAUUACUACCAUUGAAUGGGGCAGAGAGCUCAUUACACAAUUGAGACUCAGUUUCACUGAGCAACAGCAGAAACUGAGACAGAAGCAGAAUAGUUUCAGCAGUUUAUUGUAAAGACCUUUACAAUCUCAGUACAGAGAUAAGGAUAUAAAAUGAUGUUGUUUGGGAUAAUUAAGGCUGGUUGGUGGUCAUCCAAAUUUCACUGUUCAGUGGAACUCAAGCAAGAGCAACUGAUUUCUGACUGUACAUAUUUUUAUUUGUGUUCCAUCGUUACAGUGAGAUCACGAGUUAUUUCAAAGACUCAAUGCCUGUUUAUU